rnacentral:rRNA from 1 species
UACGUAGGUGGCAAGCGUUGUCCGGAAUUAUUGGGCGUAAAGCGCGCGUAGGCGGUUUCUUAAGUCUGAUGUGAAAGCCCACGGCUUAACCGUGGAAGGUCAUUGGAAACUGGGAGACUUGAGUGCAGAAGAGAAGAGCGGAAUUCCACGUGUAGCGGUGAAAUGCGUAGAGAUGUGGAGGAACACCAGUGGCGAAGGCGGCUCUUUGGUCUGUAACUGACGCUGAGGCGCGAAAGCGUGGGGAUCAAACAGG